UCCGUGAGCUCUGGCAGUGUCUUAGGAUGUCUGGUUAUAUUUUGGAGAUUAUGUAAAAAAUGUGUCUGUUUCCUUUUGUGUGAUCCCAUAGAAAUCAGUCUGUUUUUGAUUAUGUUAAGUCUGUUACAUAAUACACCUGAUUUUUUUUUCUUGCAGAUUUUCAUAGAAGUCAUGGAAGAGAGAGAUCAUCCUGCACUUUCACUAACCCUCCAGGUUUUGAAUUCUGAGCCAAUUUUGCAGAUCAUAAUCCACUGGCAUUUCACGUCACAUGCUCAAAUCUGAAUUUGGACAUGACUCAAUCAAAUCAAGCAAAUCAAGCAGAUCCAGCCAGUUGUGAUGUGACUUCUAACCGAACUUCUGAUUCUGUUUUUCUCAUGCUUAUUCGAUGAGGCAUUCAUGGGAACGCUCAAUAUGUGGUCCAAAGAACCAUUGUUUCAAGUAAAGACCUUCAAGGAUGGCCAACUCAACAAUUCAGUACAUCCUGAAAUAGUAGGAAUGCACUCAAGGCCAGUAAUGCCUGGAAGACCAACAAAGACAACUAAAGUUUAUGAAAGAAAAACCCUGUCACAACAUCUAGCCAAGUCAAGAUUAAACAACACUGUCGAGGAGGGAGCUGAUUCAUUGUGAAAAUCAAGAGAUGCUUCAUAGAUAUAAAUACAAAGGGAUUCUUUGGACAGCUGAAACCAAGAUUAACUUGUACUCUAAUGAUGUAAUUGUAAUGAAAGAGAAAGAAAGAAAGAAAGAAAGAAAUGUCACACCAUCUGUUGAACAUGGUGGAGGCAAUGUUAUGGUAUGGGCAUGUCUGCUUGCCAGUGGAACUGGUUCACUGGUGUUUAUUGAUGAUGUGCCUGCUGAUUGAAACAGGAUAAACUUAUAACUUAUAAACUUAAACUUAAACUUAAACUUAAACUUAAACUUAAACUUAAACUUAAACUUAUAAACUUAAAGUAUAACUCUAUACACUACAGUCAAAUGCUGCAAAACUGAUAGGACAGCACUUCACAGUACAGAACCUCCAAACAAGCUCAAGGAUAAAACAUACCCUCAAAGCAAUCCAAGAGCUUCUUAAGGCAAAUAAAUGGAAUGAUCUUUAAUGUCAGAGUCAAUCACCUGACCUCAAGCCAACUGAGCAUGCUUUACAACUGAAGGCAGCUUCAGUAAUGACCUUCUCAAUGGAGGAAACUCAGUAUAUGGUGAUAUCCAUGGGUUCCAGUCAUUGACCCCUGCAUCCAAGUAUUAAAAAGAAUUAUUAUUUAUAAUGAUUUUAGUUUAGUCCAAUUACUUUUGAGCCUGAAAAAUGGAAAAAUUCGAGUGACUGGUUAAGGCAAUAUUUUUACUGAAUGAAUGAAUUUUGAUCACUCUGAAGCUUAUCUUAUAUUUAAAACCUUGACACAUUCCUGGAAUGAUGGAGUGAACUCACACUGAGAGUCUGAACAGCUGAUGUCCUUCCAGAAUAUGUACAUAAACGCUCUAUGUGUGUUACAUAUGCAUCACACUAACUCCUGUUUCUGGUUGUUUCUUAGUUUGUUGGUAUCUAGACUUGGAUCAGUUUUUUAGGGGUUGCAUAAACUAGUUGAAGAACACAUUUAACAAUUCUGAGGUUAUGACGUCUAGACUGGCGGGGGAUAAAUACAGUAAAGAACACAGUAAAGAAAGCAGGCAAAUGUACAUUUUUACGAAGGAUACAGUGUGUGACAGUCUACUACAUAACACUAUGCUGGGAACGUUUUUUUUCUUCUUUUGCUUAAUAAAUUGAAAUAUCAUUUUACAUGAAGCCAACAAGCCAAGGCAGAGGAAAAUCCCACCCAACAGUUCGAACUCAUAUCAGUGAAGCAUGGCAGCUCAAAGAGGCCAGUCCAGAACUCUUUUUGUACAUUCCUGAUGGUGGUGUUAAUUUUAAUACUAUAGACAUAACUUCCUCCAUCCAUCAUUUAGCUAUGAGGAGGUUCUGCUUGCAAACAGAGUUUUUACUUGAAUUUCCUUUCCGAAUUAUUGGUAGACUAAAAAUAAGUUGCUGUGUAACCCCUACUAUUCUUUCUUACUUGGCACUUAUAUAUAAACUCACCACUUAGCGCAUAAUGUUUAGUCUCUGCAUCCACUCUGACACUGAUAUGCUGCUUAGAGAGUGUAAUUAGUGGAAUUUUACAAAUGUAGCCUAUUGUAUAAAGCAUGUACACAGCACACAGGCCAGAUGUUUACAUACACUUAAAUUAAAGAUAUUUAAUCUCAGUUUUCCACACUUCAGACAUUUCUUUUGGCACGUGAACUACAGCCUUGACUGUGUUCACAUCAGAGGUCAUUUUAAAACAGUCCAUUAGAGACCGAGGCCUUGGCUUGAAUUUUCAAUGGUAUCAUGGGAAAGAAGGCUCUGUCUCUGAAAGGUAAGUCCUUUUCAAGCCAUAGGUGUGCUCCUAUUAACUCCUAAUUAUAUCAAUCAGAAACUUCUAAAAACCAUUACAUCAAUUUCUGAAAUUAUUCCAGACUGUUUAAAAGAGACAGUUAUAACUUGGUGUUUGUAAAUACAGUUUAUAAAAGCUGAAAUAAAUGUUUCUUUAGCAUAGUUUAAAAAAAGUUGGAGUGGAAAAACUCAUGCAUCCUGCAUGCAGCUCUGACUUUAACCCCACUGAACACCUUUGGGAUAAUGUGGAAUGCUGACUGCAACUCAGACCGCCUUGUCCAACAUCAGCUUCUGACCUCACUAAUGCUCUUGUAACUGAAUGGACAAAUCUUAUUACAUGCAGCAACUUUCCAAAAUCUAGUGGAAAGCCUUCCCAGAAGAGUGGAGCUUGUUAUGACAGUGAAGGGAAACUAAAUCUGGAAUGAGAUGUUUAAAAAGCAAAUAUGGGUGUGAUGGUCAUGUGUCCACAAACUUUUGGGCAUAUAAUGUAUGAAAAACAUAUUUCAAGCUUGGUCUAUAUUUAAGGUCUAGUUAUAAUUAGGAUUAACUAUCAAAUUUGCAUUUAAAUUAUGCUUCACUGGUCUGUUGACACUUUUAGAAUAUUUCAUCAUUUUAGUUUAUUUUUUGUGGACAUUAAAGCUGGUGAUCCUGCUGAACCUUCUCAAGGGGGAGCUUCCUGUCAAACACACUAUACAUCUCAUUGUUCACAUUUUGUCACGCCACCUGAGUACGUCAAGAGUCAGCAAGAGUUCAGUAUUUCCUUUUAAAUUCUGUCAUUUAUAAUCAAGAAGAUUUCAGUUCACUGCCAAAUGUUUCCAUUUCACUGAAUGAAAGUCCAACUAUAUUAACAGAUUAUAUUUAUUAUUUAGCAUAUUUCACUAACAACAUUUUAUUUCUUAUAGAAAGGCUGUUAGAAACAGUACUCCAUAAUGCUAGACUGCAGAAUGGGCUUGGGAAUGGGUUUUUAAUUAAUUACAUCCUUUACUACUCGUUGGUUAAAGUCGAUGGGCUGCUAGCAUCCGAAAACUUCUAAAGCAUCAAUAAUCAUCAACUUUUAAAACCAAACUUCUGAUAAUAGAUAGAUAAUAUUUAGCCGAUCAAAAUGAACUAAACUCAUUUCUGAAACAGUUCUGAAACUCUGAAACUACAAUUGUUACAUCUUCUUUUCCUUCUUUCGGCUUUACCCUUCAGGGGUCGCCACAGUGAAUCAUCUCUCUCCACCUAUCCCUAUCUUCUGCAUCCUCAACACUUACACCCACUAGCUUCAUAUCCUUAUUUAUUACAUCCAUAUACCUCCUCUUUGGCCUUCCUCUUUUCCUCCUGCCUGGCAGCUCCAUGUCCAACAUUCUCUUACCAAUAUACUCACUCUCCCUCCUCUGGACAUGUCCAAACCAUCUUAACCUGGCCUCUCUAACUUUGUCCCCCAAACGUCCAACAUGAGCUGUCCCUCUGAUGUACUCGUUCCUAAUCCUGUCCAACCUUGUCACUCCCAAAGAGAACCUCAACAUCUUCAGCUCUGCUACCUCUGACUCCUGGCUCUGUCUCAGUGACACUGUCUCUAAACCAUACAGCAUGGCCGGUCUCACCACUGUUCAGUAGACCUUGAAAUUUUUCUAUCACACAGAACUCCCGACACCUUUCUCCACCCAUUCCAACCUGCCUGCACUCGCUUCUUUACCUCUUUCCCACACUCUCCAUUACUCUGGGCUGUUGACCCCAAGUCUUAAGUACGCUUAAACUCCUGUACCUUCUACACCUCUUCAUCCUGUAAUCUUACUGUUCCACUUCCCUCCCUGUCAUUCACACACAUGUACUCAGUCUUACUACGACUGAGUUUCAUUCCUCUUCUCUCCAGCGCAAACCUCCACCUCUCCAGGUUUUCCUCCACCUGAUCCCUGCUCUCACUACAGAUCAAAAUGUCAUCUGCAAACAUCAUUGUCCAAGGAGACUCCUGUCUGACCUCCUCUGACAACUUGUCCAUCACCAUAGCAAACAGGAAGGGGCUCAGAGCCGAUACCUGAUGCAGUCCCACCUCCACUUUGAACUCCUCUGUCUGACCUACAGCACACCUCACCACUGUCCUGCACCACUCUGACAUACUUCUCUGAUACUCCUGACUUCCUCUUACAGUACCACGGCUCUUCUCUUGGCACCCUGUCAUACACUUUCUCCAAGUCUACAAACACACAGUUAACUCUCUCUGACCAUCCCUAUACUUCUCCAUCAACAUUCUCAGAGCAAAAAUUGCAUCUGUUGUGCUCUUUCUGGGCAUGAAGCCAUACUGCUGCUCACAAAUUUCCACUACCUUCCUUAACCUAGCUUUCACUACUCUUUCCCAUAGCUUCAUUGUAUGGCUCAUCAACCGGGAUGUCGUCAGGACCAACUGCCUUUCCACUUUUCAUCCUCUUCAAAGCCUUCCUGACUUCAUCCUUUCUAAUCUUAUCUACUUUCUGUUCCAUAGAGUUCACCCCUUCUACUCUUUCUUCCCUCUCAUUUUCCUCAUUCAUCAGCUCUUCAAAGUACUCCUUCCAUCUCCUCUGUACACUCUCCUCACUUGUGAGCACCUUUCCAUCUCUAUCCUUAAUAACUCUAACUUGCCGCACAUCCUUCCCAUCUCGAUCCCUCUGCCUAGCUAACCUGUACAAGUCCUUCUCUAGUGUCUAACCUAGUGUACAACUCAUCAAAUGCCUUCUGCUUGGCCUUAGACACCUCUCUCUUCACACUGCACUGUAAGUCCUUGUAUUCCUGUCUAUUCUCUUCAGUCCUGUCCAUGUCCCACUUCUUCUUGGCUAACCUCUUCCUCUGAAUACUAUCCUGAACUUCUGCAUUCCACCAACAAGUACCUUCUUUCCUCAUUCCAGAUGACAUACCCAGCACCUUUCUUCCUGUCUCCCUGAUCACUUCUGCUGUAGUUUCCCAGUCAUCUGGCAGCACUACCUGACCACCCAGAGCCUGCCUCAACUUCUGUCUAAAUUCCUCACAACAUUCCUCCUUUUUAAGCUUCCACCACUUGGUUUUCUUUUCCAUCUCUAUCUUUGACCUCUGCUUACAGACCAUCAAAUUCAUCCUACACACCACCAUCCUAUGCUGUCUGGCUACACUCUCUCCCACUACCACUUUACAGUCACUAAUCUCUUUCAGAUUGCCUCUUCUACAUAGGAUGUAGUCUACCUGUGUGCUCCUACCUUCACUCUUGUAAGUCACUCUAUGCUCCUCCCUCUUCUGAAAAUAAGUGUUAACCACAGCCAUGUCCAUCCUCUUAGCAAAGUCCACUACCAUCUGUCCUUCAAGGUUCCUUUCCUUAACUCCAAACUUGCCCAUCACCUCCUCAUCACCUGUGUUCCCCUCACCAACAUGUCCAUUAAAAUCUGCCCCUAUCACCACUCUCUCACCUGUUGGAAUACUCUCUAUCACCUCAUCUAAUUCACUCCAGAAUCUCUCUUUCUCCUCUAACUCACAACCUACCUGUGGGGCAUAACCACUAACAACAUUCAACAUCACCCCUCCAACCUCUAACUUCAGACUCAUCACCCUGUCCGACACUCUCAUCACCUCCAGAACAUUCCUCACAAACUCCUCCUUCAGGACCACACCUACCCCAUUUCUCUUACUAUCCACACCAUAAUAAAACAGCUUAAACCUGCUCCUAUGCUAUGAGCCUUGGUACCCUUCCACCUGGUCUCCUGUACACACAUUAUAUCCACCUUCCUUCUCUCCAUCAUAUCAGCCAGCUCUCUACCUUUUCCUGUCAUAGUACCAACAUUCAGAGUUCCUAUUCUCAGUCCUACACUCUUACCUUUCCUCUUCUCUCUCUGUCUACGCACUCUCCUUCCUCCUCUACUUCUUCGACCAACAGUAGCCCAAUUUCCACCAGCGCCCUGUAGGUCAACGGUGCCAAUGGCGGUCGUUGUUAACCCGGGCCUUGACCGAUCCGGUAUGAAAUUUAGAGUACUGAUGAUUCGCAUGGUUAAAUUUGGCAAUGUUUUACGCUGGAUGCCCUUCCUGAUGCAACCCUCUCUAUUUAUCUGGGCUUGGGACCAGCACAGAAGUCACUGGACUGUGACACCAUGGCUAGAUUACAAUUGUUACAUAAAUAUGCUUAUUAUUUUCCUGGCAGUUGUUCCAGCAUAUUUAUUAUGGACCUAUUCAUGCUUAUUUAUU